UACAGAGGGGGCAAGCGUUGUUCGGAAUUACUGGGCGUAAAGGGCGCGUAGGCGGCCUGUUAAGUCGAACGUGAAAUCCCCGGGCUCAACCCGGGAACUGCGUCCGAUACUGGCAGGCUUGAAUUCGGGAGAGGGAUGCGGAAUUCCAGGUGUAGCGGUGAAAUGCGUAGAUAUCGGAAGGAACACCUGUGGCGAAAGCGGCUCACUGGACCAUUACUGACGCUGAGGCACGAAAGCUAGGGGAGCAAACAGG
rnacentral:rRNA from 1 species